rnacentral:rRNA from 1 species
AUUGAACGCUGGCGGCAUGCCUUACACAUGCAAGUCGAACGGCAGCACGGGAGCUUGCUCCUGGUGGCGAGUGGCGAACGGGUGAGUAAUACAUCGGAACGUACCCUGAAGUGGGGGAUAACGUAGCGAAAGUUACGCUAAUACCGCAUAUUCUGUGAGCAGGAAAGAGGGGGAUCGCAAGACCUCUUGCUUUAGGAGCGGCCGAUGUCGGAUUAGCUAGUUGGUGAGGUAAAGGCUCACCAAGGCGACGAUCCGUAGCGGGUCUGAGAGGAUGAUCCGCCACACUGGGACUGAGACACGGCCCAGACCCCUACGGGAGGCAGCAGUGGGGAAUUUUGGACAAUGGGCGCAAGCCUGAUCCAGCCAUGCCGCGUGAGUGAAGAAGGCCUCGG